UGGGGGAUAUUGCACAAUGGGCGAAAGCCUGAUGCAGCGACGCCGCGUGGGGGAUGAAGGCCUUCGGGUUGUAAACUUCUUUUGCUCUGAACAAGGCAUGCCUUUGGGGUGUGUUGAGUGUAGGGGUUGAUUAGCGCCGGCUAACUACGUGCCAGCAGCCGCGGUAAUACGUAGGGCGCGAGCGUUGUCCGGAAUUAUUGGGCGUAAAGGGCUUGUAGGUGGCUGGUUGCGUCUGUCGUGAAAGCUCAUGGCUUAACUGUGGGUUUGCGGUGGGUACGGGCUGGCUUGAGUGCAGUAGGGGAGGCUGGACUUCCUGGUGUAGCGGUGGAAUGCGCAGAUAUCAGGAGGAAUACCGGUGGCGAAGGCGGGUCUCUGGGCUGUUACUGACGCUGAGGAGCGAGAGCGUGGGGAGCGAACAGG
rnacentral:rRNA from 1 species